rnacentral:misc_RNA from 1 species
CCGAGUCACAGUAAUAGACUGUGAAGUGUUCUAUAAUGGCCGACCCCCAAAACCCUAAUGCUGGAACCCCUCAGAAUCUUCCUCCUCCUCAUCCUUCUAAAAUUCCUUCCGAAAUCAGAAAUGGUGGCGCCAACACCAACGCUAAAGCCGACUUCUCGGGCCAAAAGGUUCACUACCCCAACCCACCCGACACGGCAAACCCGGACCCGGCAACACUGAGGGAGCAGUGGAGAUUUGCAAUACGGCAAUACAGCAGAUGGUACUCCCACGCUUGGGGCACAGCAAUUCUCGCGGGUCUCUCUUUCUUCGCUCUGGGUUGGAUUAUUAAGGGCUCUAAUCCUCUUCCUUCUAUCACGAAGGACGAUUCCUCUUCUGCCCCUUCAUCUCCUAAUGAUGCCAACGAAGCUCGGCGGUGAUACGUGAGUGUGAUUUUUAUUCUGGGUUUUGUAGCUUUCAUUAAUGGAUUCUGAUUUUUAUUUUGCGAGUGGGCUAUAAUUAUGAAUUAUAGAAUCUGUAGCCUUUGGCUUUGAGUAAGAGAAAUUCUUGGAUUUGUCGCACUGCUAGGAGUUAGAAGUAAAAGACCACAGCUUACCCAUUUUGAAUGGUGAUUUUAAUUGAUUCUUCUAGUCUCAUGUGGGUGCUGUCUUGGACGUUUAGUGGCCCUACCGGUACAUAUGUUUAUCUGUGCUAGUGCAUCUGUUCGCCUAAUUUACUUGAGAUCAUUUACAAGGCACAUAAUCUAUGCUUUUGAGCGUAUUGGUGAUACAUGUCACUGAAUGUUAGGAACCACUGAAAAGUACAUAGAGUAAUAGCCAAUUGCUGCGUUA